rnacentral:rRNA from 1 species
UUAAAUUGAAGAGUUUGAUCAUGGCUCAGAUUGAACGCUGGCGGCAGGCCUAACACAUGCAAGUCGAACGGUAACAGGAAGCAGCUUGCUGCUUUGCUGACGAGUGGCGGACGGGUGAGUAAUGUCUGGGAAACUGCCUGAUGGAGGGGGAUAACUACUGGAAACGGUGGCUAAUACCGCAUAACGUCGCAAGACCAAAGAGGGGGACCUUCGGGCCUCUUGCCAUCAGAUGUGCCCAGAUGGGAUUAGCUUGUUGGUGAGGUAACGGCUCACCAAGGCGACGAUCCCUAGCUGGUCUGAGAGGAUGACCAGCCACACUGGAACUGAGACACGGUCCAGACUCCUACGGGAGGCAGCAGUGGGGAAUAUUGCACAAUGGGCGCAAGCCUGAUGCAGCCAUGCCGCGUGUAUGAAGAAGGCCUUCGGGUUGUAAAGUACUUUCAGCGGGGAGGAAGGUGUUGUGGUUAAUAACCGCAGCAAUUGACGUUACCCGCAGAAGAAGCACCGGCUAACUCCGUGCCAGCAGCCGCGGUAAUACGGAGGGUGCAAGCGUUAAUCGGAAUUACUGGGCGUAAAGCGCACGCAGGCGGUCUGUCAAGUCGGAUGUGAAAUCCCCGGGCUCAACCUGGGAACUGCAUUCGAAACUGGCAGGCUUGAGUCUUGUAGAGGGGGGUAGAAUUCCAGGUGUAGCGGUGAAAUGCGUAGAGAUCUGGAGGAAUACCGGUGGCGAAGGCGGCCCCCUGGACAAAGACUGACGCUCAGGUGCGAAAGCGUGGGGAGCAAACAGGAUUAGAUACCCUGGUAGUCCACGCCGUAAACGAUGUCUACUUGGAGGUUGUGCCCUUGAGGCGUGGCUUCCGGAGCUAACGCGUUAAGUAGACCGCCUGGGGAGUACGGCCGCAAGGUUAAAACUCAAAUGAAUUGACGGGGGCCCGCACAAGCGGUGGAGCAUGUGGUUUAAUUCGAUGCAACGCGAAGAACCUUACCUGGUCUUGACAUCCACGGAAGAAUUCAGAGAUGGAUUUGUGCCUUCGGGAACCGUGAGACAGGUGCUGCAUGGCUGUCGUCAGCUCGUGUUGUGAAAUGUUGGGUUAAGUCCCGCAACGAGCGCAACCCUUAUCCUUUGUUGCCAGCGGUUAGGCCGGGAACUCAAAGGAGACUGCCAGUGAUAAACUGGAGGAAGGUGGGGAUGACGUCAAGUCAUCAUGGCCCUUACGACCAGGGCUACACACGUGCUACAAUGGCGCAUACAAAGAGAAGCGACCUCGCGAGAGCAAGCGGACCUCAUAAAGUGCGUCGUAGUCCGGAUUGGAGUCUGCAACUCGACUCCAUGAAGUCGGAAUCGCUAGUAAUCGUGGAUCAGAAUGCCACGGUGAAUACGUUCCCGGGCCUUGUACACACCGCCCGUCACACCAUGGGAGUGGGUUGCAAAAGAAGUAGGUAGCUUAACCUUCGGGAGGGCGCUUACCACUUUGUGAUUCAUGACUGGGGUGAAGUCGUAACAAGGUAACCGUAGGGGAACCUGCGGUUGGAUCACCUCCUUACCU